CGCCUUUCCAUCGUCUGUCGCACAGCCUAUAUACAUGGGGCCGGAUUCGUCCGGCUAUGGCGAUAAACGCGGUCGUAAUAAGCCAUUCGGACCCGGGGGCAGUACCCGGCGCCUCCACCAUCUUUCCUGUGCCUUGCAGUUUCCCUGAGGGGAGCCGGCCGCAAGACCUGGAAAUUAUGGGGGCGAACUAGGAUCGACGAGGGUGUAAAGGGCUUUGCUUUCGCUCGGCAUGAUACCACCGUUAUCGGGUCAUUCAGAAU
rnacentral:tmRNA from 1 species